AACAUGCCCGCGUUAGGGAUUGCAGUGAAAAGCCCACAGGGCUCCCGAUGGUAAUCGGGUGCACGAGGACUUGUAGCGGAAAGCCCGACCCUGU
rnacentral:ncRNA from 2 species